rnacentral:rRNA from 1 species
CGGGUGAGUAACACGUGGGUGAUCUGCCCUGCACUCUGGGAUAAGCUUGGGAAACUGGGUCUAAUACCGGAUAUGACCACAUGCCGCAUGGUGUGUGGUGGAAAGAUUUAUCGGUGCAGGAUGGGCCCGCGGCCUAUCAGCUUGUUGGUGGGGUAAUGGCCUACCAAGGCGACGACGGGUAGCCGACCUGAGAGGGUGACCGGCCACACUGGGACUGAGACACGGCCCAGACUCCUACGGGAGGCAGCAGUGGGGAAUAUUGCACAAUGGGCGGAAGCCUGAUGCAGCGACGCCGCGUGAGGGAUGAAGGCCUUCGGGUUGUAAACCUCUUUCAGCAGGGACGAAGCGUGAGUGACGGUACCUGCAGAA